rnacentral:rRNA from 1 species
GACGGAGGGUGCUAGCGUUGUUCGGAAUUACUGGGCGUAAAGGGCGCGUAGGCGGCCCGAGAAGUCGGAUGUGAAAGCCCGGGGCUCAACCUCGGAACGGCAUUCGAAACUUUUGGGCUCGAGAACGGAAGAGGAGAGUGGAAUACCCAGUGUAGAGGUGAAAUUCGUAGAUAUUGGGUGGAACACCGGUGGCGAAAGCGGCUCUCUGGUCCGGAUCUGACGCUGAGGCGCGAAAGCGUGGGGAGCAAACAGG